UAGGGAAUCUUCCGCAAUGGGCGAAAGCCUGACGGAGCAAUGCCGCGUGAUUGAAGAAGGCCUUCGGGUCGUAAAACUCUGUUAUAAGAGAAGAACAAAUUGUAGAGUAACUGCUACAGUCUUGACGGUAUCUUAUCAGAAAGCCACGGCUAACUACGUGCCAGCAGCCGCGGUAAUACGUAGGUGGCAAGCGUUGUCCGGAUUUAUUGGGCGUAAAGGGAGCGCAGGUGGUUUCUUAAGGCUGAUGUGAAAGCCCACGGCUUAACCGUGGAGGGUCAUUGGAAACUGGGAAACUUGAGUACAGAAGAGGAAUGUGGAACUCCAUGUGUAGCGGUGGAAUGCGUAGAUAUAUGGAAGAACACCAGUGGCGAAGGCGACAUUCUGGUCUGUUACUGACACUGAGGCUCGAAAGCGUGGGGAGCAAACAGG
rnacentral:rRNA from 1 species